rnacentral:rRNA from 1 species
GAUGAACGCUGGCGGCGUGCCUAAUACAUGCAAGUCGAGCGAACGGACGAGAAGCUUGCUUCUCUGAUGUUAGCGGCGGACGGGUGAGUAACACGUGGAUAACCUACCUAUAAGACUGGGAUAACUUCGGGAAACCGGAGCUAAUACCGGAUAAUAUUUUGAACCGCAUGGUUCAAAAGUGAAAGACGGUCUUGCUGUCACUUAUAGAUGGAUCCGCGCUGCAUUAGCUAGUUGGUAAGGUAACGGCUUACCAAGGCAACGAUGCAUAGCCGACCUGAGAGGGUGAUCGGCCACACUGGAACUGAGACACGGUCCAGACUCCUACGGGAGGCAGCAGUAGGGAAUCUUCCGCAAAGGGCGAAAGCCUGACGGAGCAACGCCGCGUGAGUGAUGAAGGUCUUCGGAUCGUAAAACUCUGUUAUUAGGGAAGAACAUAUGUGUAAGUAACUGUGCACAUCUUGACGGUACCUAAUCAGAAAGCCACGGCUAACUACUUG